ACGUAAACCCAUGAUUUUCCCGC
rnacentral:siRNA from 1 species